rnacentral:rRNA from 1 species
CCUACGGGGGGCAGCAGUGAGGAAUAUUGGUCAAUGGACGAGAGUCUGAACCAGCCAAGUAGCGUGAAGGAUGACUGCCCUAUGGGUUGUAAACUUCUUUUAUAUGGGAAUAAAAUGUUCCACGUGUGGGAUUUUGUAUGUACCAUAUGAAUAAGGAUCGGCUAACUCCGUGCCAGCAGCCGCGGUAAUACGGAGGAUCCGAGCGUUAUCCGGAUUUAUUGGGUUUAAAGGGAGCGUAGGUGGAUUGUUAAGUCAGUUGUGAAAGUUUGCGGCUCAACCGUAAAAUUGCAGUUGAAACUGGCAGUCUUGAGUACAGUAGAGGUGGGCGGAAUUCGUGGUGUAGCGGUGAAAUGCGUAGAUAGCACGAAGAACUCCGAUUGCGAAGGCAGUUCACUGGACUGCAACUGACACUGAGGCUCGAAAGUGUGGGUAUCAAACAGGAUUAGAUACCCCAGUAGUC